rnacentral:lncRNA from 1 species
UGUCCUGGAGAAAGUUCCAUGCGCUGUUGAAUAGAAUGUGUAUUCUGCGAUUGUUGAAUGGAAUAUUGUGUAUACAUUUGUUAAGUUCAUUUGUUCUAAGAUAUAGUUUAAAUCCAUUGUUUCUUUGUUGACUUUCUGUCUUGUUCCAGUUCUCAGAGGGCAUGCUUUCAACUUUUCCCCACUUGGCUCUAUUUUUGGUCUGGUUGGCCUCCUGCUGAGAGGUGGCACUUUCCCGAGAGUAUCAGCUGCAGUAGUAUAGAGAGGAACUUGUGGUGGGCAGGGCCCUAGAACUUCGAAGAGUAUAUACCCUUUGUGUUCAGUUACGAGGGUGGGUAGGCAAGGACCAUCAUGUGGGGGUGGGGCUAGGUGUGUCUGAACUCAGACUCUCCUCGCUCUGGUCUUGCUGCAGCUGCUGCUGGGGAUAGGGGUGAGGUUCCCAGGUCAGUGGAGUUAUGUUCCUAGGAGGAUUGUGGAUGCCUCUGCUGAGUCGUGCAGGUUGUCAGGGAAGUUGGGGAAAGUCAGUAGUCACAGGUCUCACCCAGCUCCCACGCAAUCGAAAGGGCUGGUCUCACUUCCACCAUGCUCCCCCUAACAGCACCAAGCCUGUUUCCAGGCAGUGGGCAAGCAGGCCUGAGAACUUGCCCCAGGCUACCCACCUCCCAGCUGCAACAGAAAGUAGGACUUUAGUUCUUUCCCUGCCUGUGGAGUCUGCAUGCUGGAGGAUUCGUGCCCUCCCCAAGUUCUGGCCAGGAGGCUUCUCCGCCCAUUCAAAUUGUUACAAAGUUCAGCUGGGGAUUUCCUUCUCCUUGUGGCGUUUUCCCCACACCUCUGGCCACCCUCCUGAAGGAUCCCUGUGAUGACAGGCAGGAAUGGCCUGCUUGGGGACCCAGCAAGCUCACAGGGCCUUUCCUGCUGCUUCCUCUACUCCUGUAUUUCACUCAGCUGUCUACGUUGACUCAGCUCCAGAUGGACUCUCAGGAUUCAGGGGAUCAUGGCAGACGGAAGGCAGGACUAGAUUGCAGCUCUGGACAGAGCAGCAUGCAGAAGCUUGCAUUGCGAAUUUUAACUUCAGGUUGACUGCAAGAACAAACCAGCAAUCCCAGGAGGACCCACAGACCCUCUGAAGGAAGCAGACUUCUCCUGUAGGACCUGAGAGACACCCCAAAUACUCUUUGAUCUCCAGGUAAUACUGGCUUCCUCAAAUCCAUUGAGAAGUGUGACCGGCCUGAAACAGUUCCUAUAAACUUGAUAAAUUAAUGAGGGAAGAAGAGAAGGGAGAAACAAAAUAUGCCCAGCUUGCAGCCCACUCGGCGUUCAUCAUGAGGUCAGCUGCUCUCUGACGCUUCUUCUGAGCUGCAUAGUGCCUGUUGUGCUGUAGUCGUGUAGACCCUGUAGUUUCCCUUAACUGCUCUAUAGAUAGAGUUUCAUGAUGUUCAAGUUACGUUUUCCUUUUGGGAGACUGCUUCAGGUCCUGUAUACUGAUGCAGCUACUGACUCAGCUGGUCUUAAGGACCCCAUGAGGAGCUGACUCAAAAGAACAGUUUCUACAUCCUGAUGAUUUCAUCCCCCAUACCCCAUCCAAUCAACAACCCUAAUUUUCCAACCCCUCACCCUCCACAGUCCUCUUAAAAACCCCAGCUCAGAACUCCUCAGGGAGAUGCAUUUGAGGGUCUCCUCCCAUCUCCUCACUUGAUGCACUAUGAUCAUUAAACUUUCUCUGCAAACCCUGCUGUCUCAGUGUAAUUGGUCUACUGCACAGCAGUAUAUGAACCUGUUGGUCCUAUAACAUGCUUUUUUCUUUUUUGGAAGUGAUAUAUGAAACUGGUGUUACCUUGACUUUGAAUGUUUGGUAAAACCCUCCAGUGAAACGGUCC